UACGUAGGGUGCAAGCGUUAAUCGGAAUUACUGGGCGUAAAGCGCGCGUAGGCGGCUUAGCAAGUUAGAGGUGAAAGCCCGAAGCUCAACUUCGGAAUUGCCUUUAAAACUGCAAAGCUAGAAUCAUGGAGAGGUGAGUGGAAUUCCGAGUGUAGAGGUGAAAUUCGUAGAUAUUCGGAAGAACACCAGUGGCGAAGGCGACUCACUGGACAUGUAUUGACGCUGAGGUGCGAAAGCGUGGGGAGCAAACAGG
rnacentral:rRNA from 1 species